GUCGAGACUCCUCUACCCUGUGCAAAGGUGUAUGAAUUUCGACCCCAGAGCUCUGGUCUCUGUGCUUUCAUGUUGCUGCUUUAUUUCGACCCCAGAGCUCUGGUCUGUGUGCUUUCAUGUCGCUGCUUUAUUAAAUCUUGCCUUCUACAUUUUAUGUAUGGUCUCAGUGUCUUCUUGGGUACGCGGCUGUCCCGGGACUUGAGUGUCUGAGUGAGGGUCUCCCCUCGAGGGUCUUUCAUUUGGUGCAUUGGCCGGGAAACAGCGCGACCACCCAGAGGUCCUAGACCCACUUAGAGAUAAGUGCCGGUUGCAUCCAGCUGUGAGAGCUGCACUCCCGUCUCUGCUCUAAAGUUCCCUCUUCUCAGAAGGUGGCACCACCCUGAGUUGCUGGCAGUGAGUCUGUUCCAAGUUCCAGUGAGGGAGGCAUCCGCCCACUUGGGGCUUCUGUCCAAGGUUGGUACCAGACUUGGGAUCGCACAGUAGGAUAGCAGCUGUUUCCAGCAGAUCUUUGGUUUCCCUACCCCACCACCAAGCAAGAUAGCUACUAGAGAUCUAUACCUUCGGUCUCUCUCCUGAAAGAACUAGAGUCAUGGAUGAUGGAUGACUUUGGCUCUUAGCUUCCAAGCCUACUGAUGUGCGUUCUGAGCUCUUGGGGUUUAUUUGAACUAUGCUUUUAGACCAGGCUGGGUUCCAGAGUGGGCUGAAUCCAAUAAUGGACCUAUUGCAUAGAUGCUACUGCUGUGGGCUGGGACAGACCUUGGCUACCAAGUGUGCAAGGCACAUGUGUGACUUGGUGUUUUAGCUCACUUUCCAUUGCUUUGAUAAAACACGGACCAAAAGCAACUUGGGGAGGAAAGGGUUUAUUUGGCUUAUACAUCCCAGUCAGAGUUGAUCGCUGUGGGAAGUGGGGGCAAGAACUCAAGCGGGAACCCAGAAGUAUGCACUGAAGCGGAGCCAUAAGGAAUGCUGCUGGCUGGCAUGCUCAACCCGCUUCUUUACAAAACCCAGAACCAUCUGCCUAGACAUGACACUGCCCGCGGUGGCCUAAGCCCUCCCACAUUAAUCAAGAAGACACUCCACAGACCAGCGUCCAGGUCCAUCCCAGGAAAGCAACUCCUCCAUUGACUCUUCCUCUUUCCAGAUGACCCCAGUUUGUGUCAAAUUGACAACGAAAUGAUCAAUCAAUCAAACAAACAAAAACUCAUCACUCUUAGAAAAAGAAAUUUAGUACCUUCAAGAUGUCUACUUAGAGCGAGUCCAGAUGGGCGCCAGCCCUUCCUGGGUCCCCAGACCUUCCACUGUCAAAAGCUCCACAUCCCACCGCUUCAUGUGGAACAUACCAAAUGAUGAAAUUUUGAAAGAUAUUAGUGGGGUGACUGCUCUAAACUUGUUAAAAUUGUUAUAACCUGUAAUCCCGGAAAGACAAUAAGAUCUUCCAUCAGGGAGUUGGGGGGAUUAAAAGCAUUUGUGCC